AGUGAAACCCCAUCGCACGUCUCGGUGAAAAAUCCCCCAAUCCGCAGCUCCACUUUCAUGGCUCCUCUCGUUUGCCCGCGUGUGGCGGCGGCGUGGUUGCAGGGGAUGCGGGAGGAGGAGAGGGCAGCUGCCUACCAAUCCCCUCCCAUACUCGAGGCUCGAGCCCCGCACCCCCUUUUCUUCAUCAAUUCCAACCCCCACCCCACGCACGGUGGCGACAGAGAUGGAGGCGGUCACCCUCUCCCCAUAGGCGAGCUGAUCGAGGUAGUCGGGCUGGGCCGGUGUGGGGAAAGGCGGUUGCCGUGGGUGCGGGGAAGGAGGUGCCGGAGCUCCGACAGCGGCGGUUGUUGGAUGGCAGCGGGGCGGCGGGGCAGCGGUGUGGUAGGGCCGGAGCGGGACAGCGCCCAGCUUGCCAAUGUGAGCUUCUCCCAGCCCCGCUACUCUCCAAGCAUCUGCGACGUGGAUCCAACGAUAUUGGAGAAAUUGCAUGUCGUUCUGCUCAAAUCAAUCAUAAAAGAUACUGAGGAUGUUUCCUGAAUUUCUUCAGUUGUUCAAUGGGUGAAUCAGAGCAGUUCAGCUAAUCCUGGAGGGCCCCUCGCGCUGCUCGCUGCUGCUUCGAGGCCACUAUCUCUUGAUGUAUUUGCUGGCGGUGGAGCAUGGCUGUCGUGGUGUAUGUGGUUGGAGCAGUGGUACCGCCACAUGGUAUCCAGAGCCCGGCUCACCGAGUAGAGCACCAAGGUCUGUUCCGGUGACUUGCCGUGGGCACGCUUCGCGCUGCUUGCUGGCUGCUCCGAGGGCACUAUCUCUUGAUGGAUUUGCCCUUUUUGCUCUUGUUCAAAUUGCUGGAUUUGCUAAUAAACUGAGUUUGUGAAGCGUUUCUAAUAAUUAUUUUGUUGUUUGACUCCAAUACCCAUUGUCCUUGAAAUAUGAUGCCAUCAUAGAUGUGUUUUGCCACUUUGUCUCUUGUUUUGCUAAACUAAACCACUCAUUCUCAGAUUCCUAUGUAAAGUGACAGUACCAAGAUGACAUGUUCCAUCUUUUUUCCUGAAAUUGCCUAUUUUGUUCUUUGUACCGUCACAUUGUUCCUGCAUUUUCAGUCAGUUUGUGUGUGUCCUCAAUGUCCCAGGAGACAACACAUUUUUUUGGGAUAGUAGUGGAAUGGAGAUAGUCAAGUGCCUUGGAAGUACUCCGGCUGAAAAUAUGAUAGUCUUCCUUCAGGGUGGCAGAGGUGGCGGUGAAGAAUUCGGGGCAAUGAGAACUGCAUGCAGAUGUGAACACGUGGUAGGAUGAGUUCGAUGUGUUCUUCAGAACCCCACUUGGCCAGUACCACCUAAGGACUGUUCUGAUGAAGACCAGAUACCAGCUCCACGUCUGGUGAAGAUCCCUUGCAAGUUGAUAUUUAGUAUUACGCUAGAGGACUUGGGCCUUCCAGAUGCAAGAUACAACUGCCGUACAAAUUUGGGUGGUGGUUCGGUUCAUUUAGCAUGAAAUUCAUUUUCAGUGAGAUUUCAUCUAAUUUCAUUGAAUUUUAGUAAUUUGUUGCUUACAAGGUUUGUUAUUAUUGUCAUUAUUGUAUUUGAACUUCAUUAUUGUGGUCCUCAAGUUUCCAUUAGGCCAGAAACCUAAACUUUUACCCAUAUGCAUUUCUUCUUUGCUUCUUAGUGAUGAUCUUGGUGUAUUCUUCUUGAAGAAAAUAACACUUCUUCAUAUAUACUUA